UAAAUGUGCAAACUGGUAAUG
rnacentral:miRNA from 1 species